rnacentral:misc_RNA from 1 species
AUUUCUAACCAAAUAUGAUUUUAGGUUAAAUGAUUUUGAAGGAAAAAAAAAAAAAAAAUCUUCCUCCAAUUUUCAAACCUAAAACCCCUCCAACGUUUUAGCUUUAAAUCCCAUUUCAACUUCCAAGUAGAAGAAAACUUUUACCCAAAAAUGUCGCCAACACCACAACGCCCUUACGGAUGGACCCUCGACGCAGAACUGGACGAAAUCGACCUAGAUCCCUCCGAUUUCACCUCCUCUCUCCCGCUUAAGAAAGUUCCGAACGGCGACGUAUUCGAGGCCUCCCGUGCCGGCGACGUCGACCGCCUUAGGUACUUGCUGGAAUCCGGCGUCAAUGUCAACGCCCGUGACCAGUGGGACUCCGUCGCAUUAUACUACGCUUGUUUGGCCGGCCACCUCGACGCUGCGCGGAUGUUGCUGGAGAGUGGAGCUAUAUGCUCCGAGCAUACUUUUGAUGGGGAUAGAUGUCACUAUGCUGCCUUGAAUUUAAAGGUCAGG